rnacentral:lncRNA from 1 species
CUAGAUCUUCCUCCCUCAUCGUCAGCACACCGCCGCCACACCACACCAUCACCACCCCACUUCGAUACUCUUACGGUUUUUUUAUUACAAAUAAAGUAAAUCACAACCCGCACCACCAACCAAAGCAGAACCACCACCCAUCAAAAUCCUAUUCCAGCAACAAUCGACGAAAAAGUCAUCUUCCUAGCACUCGUUCCGGCAACACGCGGCGAAAAAGCCAUCUCCAAGAGAAGGUAAAGGAGAAGGAGCGUCGUUCUAGUG